rnacentral:rRNA from 1 species
AUUGAACGCUGGCGGCAGGCCUAACACAUGCAAGUCGAACGGUAACGGGAACCAGCUUGCUGUGUCGCUGACCGGAGGCGGGCGGGUGGGAACUGUCUGUGACACGGCCUGAUGGAGGGGGAUACCUACUGGAAACGGUAGCUACUACCGCAUAACGUCGCAAGACCAAAGAGGGGAACCUUCGGGCCUCUUGCCACCGGCUGUGCCCAGAUGGGAUUAGCUAGUAGGUGGGGUAACGGCUGACCUAGGCGACGAUCCCUAGCUGGUCUGAGAGGAGGACCAGCCACACUGGAACUGAGACACGGCCCAGACUCCUACGGGAGGCAGCAGUGGGGAAUAUUGCACAAUGGGCGCAAGCCUGAUGCAGCCAUGCCGCGUGUAUGAAGAAGGCCUUCGGGUUGUAAACUACUUUCGGUGGGGAGGAAGGCAUUAAAGUUAAUACCCCUACUCAUUGACGUUACCCGCAGAAUAAGCACCGGCUAACUCCGUG